rnacentral:lncRNA from 1 species
AGGAGAGAGAGGGAGGAAGAGAGUUAAGAAAAACAAAAUUGUUUCCAUCUACUACUAUUGUAUGAUUUCAAGUUGAAACAAUUGUCAUGCAAUUUUUCUUUGCUGGAAAAACUUUAUGUGUGCCUUUUAAGAAAAUAGUUAUAGAAGUUUGCUAUGCAUUCUUCAGGAACUCAUAUUUAAACUAAAAACUAAGAGUGAAAAAACAAAUUCCAAAUAAGCUAGAGACAGAAAAGAGCUUCCCUGGCAGACAGUAGAGAAGCAAAGGCCUUGAAUUACUAGUAGAACUGGUGUAUGUGGGAGGAAUUGUCAAUGUAUCUUUGCUUAAUUAGAGAAAGAGAAAGGGAGAGAUUUGCAGGAUAUGAAGAAGGGGACUGGGAGACAUAGAGCCUUCAGAACUAGGGCAAAAGUUGGCUAAAAAUAUAUAGAUAUGGUAUCUGCUUUAACAUCAAAUGUUCUAAAGGUGACAGAAUAUAUGUCAUAGUUCUUUAUACUGUAAUUGUUCUAAUAGGGAGAGUACUGAAGAUAGGGAAAAUCUAAAUAACAGUCCCUGAGGUUUUAUCUUGGAAAAAGGUAAUUUCAUGUCAGUUUCCACAGUAUAACAUAAAUUGGUUUUUGUUUUGUUUUGGUUUUGGUUUUCUUUUUUUAAAUUGAUUUUUAUUUCUUUACUGGCCAGGUCAAUUUGGGUACCCAAUAGCUUUCUUCUAUUCAGACUCUUGGUUUUCUUUAUAACACACUGCCAUGACAACUCUUAUUAAAAAAAAAAAAAAAAAAAAAAACAUAAUCAUGCUGGCUUACAGUUCACAUGUUAGACCACUUUUGCUACUUUUUCAACAAGGCUACACAUACUCCAACAAGCCUAUACCUAAUAGUGCUAUUCUCUGGUGAUCAAGCAUUCAAAUCUGUGAACCUAUACAAACCAUUCAUAUUCAAACCACAACAUUCCAUUCCCUGGCCACCACAGGCUUUUUGAUAUAUCAUAAUUCAAAGCUGCAUUCAGUGCACCUUCAAAAGUCCCUGUGCUCUAUCAUAGUUUCAACAAUGUUUUAAAAGUUUAAACUUCGGUGUGUCUUUGGAGACACAUCAAUCUCUUGUCUGUAAUGCCCUGUAGGUAGAUCAUGUACUUCUAACACACAAUGGCACGGAAUAUACAAUAACAUUCCAGAAGGAAAGAAAGGAAGCACAGUGAGGAAGCACUACAAGACGGAACAACUCCAAACUCUGAAUCUCCAUGUCUGAUAUCAAAGCGCUCUCGAGGUCCCCAACUUCUUUCAUCGUUGCUGAAUGCAACACAUUUUUUUUUCUCCUUUUGGAUUGAUUUUACACUCUGUUGGCAGCUAUCCUCAGCAGACAUCCCACAACUGUGGCAACUCUAACAUCUUCAUGAUCUCCAAGGUGACCCAGGCUUUACCUUUAUAGCAUCACACAAAGGCUUCUCUUCGUUGAGGGACACCAUGCACUCAUGUCUGGCCUCAGCAACUUUUGUUAACCACAGAGGAAGAUUCCAUAACAUAUCCCUUGCAUCCCUAAACCGGAAGCCAUAACCACGGUGACUAUUAUAUUCAAUUGUGACUGGAUUAUUUCUCAGAGGUUUAGUCCAUUAUUUUCAUGCCAGAAUGCAGGCAAAGUGAGGUAGAGUAGCUGAGAAUGCUUGGUGAACAGAAGAGGGAGGGAGGGAGGGAGAGACAGAGAGAGAGAGAGAGAGAGAGAGAGAGAGAGAAUGGGCUUGGCUAGAGCAUUUGAACUACAAAGCCCUCUCCUCCACCAUGGCCACACCUACUUCAACAAGACCACACUUCCCAAUGGUGCUACUUCCUGUUGUGGAAGCAUUUCCAAUCUAUGAGUCUAUGGGGGAGGGCAUGCAUAUUCAAACAACUUACACAAUCUAACAUUGUGCUCUUGAGCAUUUAAAUGCCAGAUUAUACUUUUUGCUCCAUUAGAAUAAGGGUACUUCUAGCUGAAAAACGUAACAAAGAGGGGCAUGAGGCAACAGAUACUACUGAGCAAGCAGUCCAUGCCUUUUCCUCUCCUAAAUGUGAAUAAAACAAUCUAUACACACUGAAACUGGCAUUUGUGACAAUUGCAUAUAUACAGAAUGCAGGUCUACAGCAUGAUCACAGUGCUCUCUGCAGUUUAACCAGUUACCACCUGCUUGCUCCAUGACUACAUUUUAGGUGGAAAUUUGCAAGUGACAAAACCAAGCAUUCUAGCUUGCCUACAUAACAAUUUCACGAUGAUACAAUGUUUUAAAAGGUCCUACCUACUUUUCUGUUAAAUAUUGAGCAAAACUACUAUCCUGGAAUGCAUAUACAAAACUACCCAUGGUUUACAUAUCUGUAAAUAUUAGUGUGUUCCUUCUGUUUUCUUCUUGGUAUUGUAUUUUUAUAAUUUCAUACCAGUAAAUGGCCAGUCAUAACAAACAAACAAGAGAAUAUAAACAUUCUCAACAGUACCCUAAUCUGAAUAUAAGAUGGCUUCUUUUUCUAUUAUACAUAUUACAGUCAGGAUUUUAAUAUUUCUUUACAACUUUUUUUGUUUGUUUGAUAGGAGAAAGCAAUGCUUGAUUGCCAUAAUGUUAUAUUCUGCAAAGCGACAGAGAUAAAUGUUGUCUCAGGGAAUAUUAUUAUUGUCUGGUUAAAUUUCCAAGGGUUAAAUAGUGCUUGAUCGUACAAAUCACUCACGUUUUGUGAAAUUCAGAUACUCUUUUUGAAGUUAUUUUCUAAAAUGAGAUGAAAUCAGAUUCUAAAACAAUAUGUACUUCUAUAAUGUGACUAUUAAGCAUUUUCAUUUCUGAACCUUUAAAGAUUUUUAAAGGAAGCUUAAUGACUUAUUUGCUUUAGAGAAAAGAUAAGAAAGUCUCGCAGAAGUUUUCUGACACUGUAAUGUUUUUGAUGUGCCUCAUUAAAGGAAUAAAAAUGCUUACUUUUGCCUGCCAAGUAUAAGAUAGAUCAAUUCAUAUAAAUUAAAUGGUGCUUGAUGAAAAUAAUAACCCUACUAAAAUAAUCAUUAAUAAUUUUAAGGAUCUCAAAGCAACCAAGUAACAAAAGAAUCUUGAUAUGAUCUUAUAGAAUAUAUAUGGAUAAAUUUUUCAAAGACAUUAUAUUGAACUUUCAUGAUAUCCAUUGUAGUAAUAUACAUAAAGCAUUAAAUACACGGUAUCAUUCAGUAGCUAUUGUGAGUGUGUGUGUGUGUGUGUGUGUGUGUGUGUGUGUGUGUGUGUGUGUGUGUAGAGGGUUUAGACAAAUAAGAAAAAGAAUAUAAUUUUAAAAUCUUUAGUUUAUUGUGUAAUGUUUGUUUUUCAUGAUAGAACUUUUGCAAAUGUGAACAUACGUAAGUGUGAGAAUCUAUAUAUAUUCUGAGAGGUCAGCAUUACUAAACUUCAGAUGUACUACUCACAUCAGCAUGGAUUAGAUGUCUGCUACUAUGUACCUCACAAAAAAGCAUCACAUAUAUAUUCUAAUAAUGUGAGUAAACAUAUAGUCACCAAAUAUAUGUUCUUGUGUUGUAUAAAGAGUCUUAUGAUUUAGAACUAUAUUAAAUUCACUCCAAAUGACUAAUGAUAAGCCUUGUACAUACUUGGUUUAUUUGACUCAUCUAAUUAUUUUUUGUUCGGUAAUCUCAUUUUCAGCUACAUGGUAAAUAUUUAACAACAGAGAAAAUUAACAUUUCAAGUUUUAAACACUGUGAAAAUGGAUUAGCUCCAAAUUACACAGUUCUUCUAUUUAUUUUAACCCCAUACAAAUUACACAGUGUAUUCAUUCUUCUGUUUAUUUUAACCCCACACCAUUUUUUUUAAUUCCCUCAUCUGCUUGCACUAUAUACUCACUUAACAAAACCAAUAAAUUAGAUGAAGGAAACCAGUGGAAAAACUAUAAGUCAAGGGAGCUCCAACUAAUCCAAAAAUUAAUAUUUGAACCAAAGGAUUAUAACUCAGAUAAGAAAAGCAAAAAUUAUCCUUUAAAUAAAAGAUAGCUUUUCCUUCAUUUGAAACACUUUAUAGUAGAAUGACUUCAAAUUCAGAUUAGAAAGUUUUAGUUAACAUUUUGUAUUAGCCUAUUUGUAAACCAUUGGUUUUUUAAAUUACAUUCAUUAUAGCCUAACCAUGAAUUAUAAUAAUUAAAUGUAUUUCAUUUGUGAUUCACCUUUCAGGCAUUGUUUUCUCUGGGUUUCUUUUUUUUUUCCAAAUAUUUUCAGUUCUAGUAAAUCCAUUGAUAAUUUACUUGAUCGAAAGUAAAUCCAUUGAUAAUUUACUUGAUCGAAUACCAUGUAUUUUAUAUUAUGUGUUCUGUAAUAUUUUCUUGUUGUCUUGCUUUAACCUAAAAGGUUUUGACACUUAUGCCUCACAAUCAGUAGGCAGUAUAGUGAAACCAACACGAGAAAAGUCAAAAGGCCUUUUUCCAGGCCAGUCUUCCCUUCUUCCAAAAGUGUAGAGUUGCCACAUUCAUAUUCUCUAUUAUAUGACUUAAUGUCUUAGUUACAGUUCUGUUCCUGGGAUAAAACAUCAUGGCCAAGGCAACUCCUUUUUUAGGCAUUUAAUUGUGGCUUGCUUAUAGCUUCAGAGUUAGUCUAAUACCCUCAUGGUGGGAAGUGUGGUGGCAAGCAUGCAGGAAUGGCAUUGACAUGUAGCUGUGUGAUUACAUCAUCAUCCUCCACGGGCCACAGGCAGAGAGAAUAAGAUGGAAUCUGGCAAGCCCACACCUGGUAACAUAUAUCCUCUAUCAAUGUCACACUUCCUACUCAUUUUUGCCCAACUGGGAAAAAAAAAUCAAAUAUUUGCGCCUAUGUGGGGGGAGCGGCAUUCUCAUUCAAAACACCCAAGUAAGUAAUGAUUUUCAAUGAUUAAAAUUUUCUUAUCAUUACUUAUCAUUAUCAAUGCCUUCUUUUGCUUUAGCACCAAAUGACUGAAAUAUUCUGAUACAACUGGCAGACAAGUAGUCUGUUAGACUUAUGGGGUCUACCCCGGAUUCAGCCAGAUCUGCUUCUACAACCAAACUUGGGAGUUGGAUAGUCUUUCACCUUUCCCUACAAGCAUUUUUUUUUACUUUGAAACAUACCUAAUAUAGUAAAUAUUCAUUCAACACACUCCCCUAUCUAUUCAUCUAUUCAUGUCUCCUCUUCCAACUUGCUAUAGCUCAGCAAGCUGACAAACACACUCAUAAUAUACCAGGCUUUUGAGUUUCUGGGCCCUAGCUAUAUGAAAAAGUAACAUAACAGUUAAUACGUUGGCCUUACUUAUUGAAGACAUUGCCAGAAAUGAGGUAUUAACAAAGGGUUUUCUGGAAACUUCUAUACAUGCUCAUCAGUACUUGAAUAAAAACAUCUGUAUUUUGUUAUUGCCAGAAUUAUUUACAUAAUAAGAUAUAAGAAAAAGUAGUUACAUCCCAAUAAAUAAAAGUUUAUAUCCAUAUUACCCUUUCCUUUGAUUCUCUUGUUUCUUUACUGAUGAGAGCACAGUUGUUGCUUGUUCUCUGUUAAAAUGUGUUCUAAUAAGUAAGACUUAAUAAUUUAUGAAUACAUAGACAACAAGACAAAACCAUAAAACAACAUACACAAAUAUAUCACAACUGAUAAGCUGUAGAAACCAUGACAUACUCAGCUUUAUUUAAGGCAGAAGCUCUGGUAACCUCUUUUCCCCAUUAAGUUAUAAUCUGUACCUUAAAUUUACUAAAAAUUAUCACUUGACUAUAUACAAAUGACUAUAAAGUAAUAACCUCCUGUUAUUAGAGAAUGUCAAUGCUAUUUUCUGGUAGUUUCUCCAUUUUUACCCUACUACCUUACGAUGUAAGUCAAAGUAUUUUGUUUGUUUGGUUGGUUGGUUGGUUGGUUUGGUUUUUCGAGACAGGGUUUCUCUGUGUAGUCCCGGCUGUCCUGGAACUCACUCUGUAAACCAGGCUGGCCUCGAACUCAGAAAUCUGCCUGCCUCUGCCUCCCAAGUGCUGGGAUUAAAGGCGUGUGCCACCACACCAGCAGUAUUUUGUUUUUUAAGAACCUCAUUCUGCUUUGCAAAUUACUGUGCUUUCUUCACCUGAGAUACCAAAUUGUUAAUUUUCUAUCACAAAGGUGGAAAGGAAAUCACUGUGGUCUAUGUCAUCAGCACCAUCAGUGUUAACUCAGCCUGCUUCUCUUUUCACCUAAGUAUCAGAAUAACAGGCCUUUCUUCAAGGCACAGGGUAUUGAGUAUGACAUGCCUUACGGUUCAAUGGACACUUCUGCCAAAAAUGAACACUCAGAAAUGUAUCUCAGAAAUUCUCUGAUAAACACAC